rnacentral:rRNA from 1 species
AUGCUCACUCGCUCGAUCUUUCCAUCGUCAUCAAUGGCGUCCGCACUGUCGUCGAUGGUGCGGAUGAUGAUGCGGAGGCAGGGCGGCCCGCCGCCCGCUUUCGUGCGCGACCUGCACCGCGAGGACCAAACGCUCCAGGAGCGCUCCAUGUGCGACUGCAGCAAGCAACCGGCAUUGACGCCUUGCUGUCAGCGCACCGAAGAGGAGCGCGACGCCUCCAUCAUCGGCCACGUCCACCACGCCCUCCGCCACUACAGCGCCACCAACCCGGGCUCGGAGUUCGUCCCCAUCAAGCCAUUGAUGGCCGCGUACGUGGGUUUCCAUGGCCACAUCUGGGUCCACGUCAGCUUCGUGGCUCGCGGGAGGAAGAUCGUCAGCGGCAAACGGAGGCGCAACACUGUCAGCGACACCGUCACCGACGAGCACUUUUUCGCCGAGCUGCGCUACUGCCACCGCCGCUCCGACGCGCCGACCGUCGAAACAUGCACCAUCGUCGAUAAGAAGCCUCGCCACGGCCACUUGAAGACUGCGUGUACAUUUUGCCCAGAAAGCUUUGAGAUCUUGCACCCUCUUGACGGGAGCUUCUUGUGCGGGAAGAAGAGCCAAGAAAAUGAAGGGCGGGGCUUCACACACUUCAUGAAUCUGCUUGAGAAGCCGUUCACAUGCCCCACUGCCGGUGGAGAAGACAAGGAGGAUGCGGCAGCUCCGGAGGAACAGAAAGCUCCAGAGGAACAGAAGGAGGAACAUAGUAGCACCAUGAGCCGGGCUCUCUCCUCCUUUGAUUUUUUUCCGUUAUCUCAUGACAAGGAUUUUGCCAGCCUUUGA